rnacentral:misc_RNA from 1 species
AACGCACAUUGCGCCCCUCGGCAUUCCGGGGGGCAUGCCCGUUCGAGCGUCAUUACAACCAUCAAGCACAGCUUGGCAAUGGGCGACGUCCCCCGUCUUGGGGGGGGGCGCGCCCCUAAACUGUCGGCAGAGUCACGCGGACCCGCCGGGCGUAGCAGAAAAGGAAGGCUUGCGCCGACCCCUCACGUCCAAUGCGACCGCGCCUCGCGCCGUAAAACCAAUGGCCCGCGAGGGUUGCAUCUCAAGGUUGACCUCGGAUCAGGUAGGGAUACCCGCUGAACUUAA